CGUGUGUUACCUUUCCUCGUCAGUUUUAAUCUAGCGUCGUACUACAGUACAUGAUAUAUAAGGCAUGGAGAUGUUAUUUUUACAGAUCAGCUAAAUUAUCUAUAGUAAAGGAUCCUACAAAUUAAUGUAAGAUACAGUCACAGAAAAUAAUUAUAUUUAUAAGUACGUCUGAGCCAGUGACAACUCUACAACAGAUUUAUCCAUCGGAUCACCAGCAGUGAUGGUGAUACAUGGCUGUGUACCUUAUGUAUAUACAACUCGUCUAAACAUCAACCCAACAAUGUUAGAUCUGUAAAUUUGCUUUCGCAAAUUUUUUGUUCUUCCCUCGCCGGGAUUCGAACCCAUGCUACUGAGAUAUCGUGACACCAAAUCGCCUGCACUGUAGCCGUCCCGCUAGACCACACGACCACCU
rnacentral:lncRNA from 1 species